AUCGCUUCUCGGCCUUUUGGCUAAAAUCAAGUGUAGUAUCUGUUCUUAUCAGUUUAAUAUCUGAUACGUCCUCUAUCUGAGGACAAUAUAUUAAAUGGAUUUUUGGAGUAGGGCAAUGGAAUAGGAGCUUGCUCCGUCCACUCCAUGCAUCGAUCCGUAUUGCAGUACCUCCAGAAACCGUGCACCAAAA
ensembl:snRNA U2 U2 spliceosomal RNA